CCGUUUUUCCCUAAUUUUUUUUUUUUUUGAAAAGUAAAAAUGUAACAAGGUUUCCAUCAGGUGAACCUGAAGGAAGAGGAUCAUUAUUGAAAUUUAAUGUAGAGUUGGUUGUAGCUGGCCUUUGAAUUAAUUUUUCUGUGGCAUGUGCACACCUUCUCUUUCAUCCACACACACCUGUGAACUUGUGAGACAGUAAGUUUGGGGACUUUAUUGAACCCACUUCUGUCUACUUAAUUUAUAUAAAAUCAAUUUAUUUUAAAACGAAUGUAAUGGAUGUAACGCAUCUAAUACUAAGUUUCAACAACGGAUCUCUUGGCUCUCGCAUCGAUGAAGAACGCAGCGAAAUGCGAUAAGUAAUGUGAAUUGCAGAAUUCAGUGAAUCAUCGAAUCUUUGAACGCACCUUGCGCUCCUUGGUAUUCCUUGGAGCAUGCCUGUUUGAGUAUCAUGAAAUCUUCAAAGUAAAUCUUUUGUUAAUUCAAUUGGUUUUCUACUUUGGUAUUGGAGGUCUUUGCAGUUUCACACCUGCUCCUCUUUGUGUAUUAGCUGGAUCUCAGUGUUAUGCUUGGUUCCACUCAGCGUGAUAAGUUAUCUAUCGCUGAGGACACUGUAAAAAGGUGGCCAAGGUAAAUGCAGAUGAACCGCUUCUAAUAGUCCAUUUACUUGGACAAAAAUUAAAUUUUUAUGAUCUGAUCUCAAAUCAGGUGAGGACAGUACACCGUCUGAACUUAAGCAUAUCAUAAGGCGGAGGAAAAAGGAACUUGGUCACGACGCGGGA
rnacentral:rRNA from 1 species